AUCUCAUAGACCUUAGUAAGUAUUUGUUUACUUUUUUUAAACUUUUUCAUAGUGUCACAUGACGUGUGCGGCUAUAAGCUUAUGGCUGCUGUUUUCUUAGUGUUGUGCUGUCAUAGAUCCACUGACUGAGCUGAGUUACACUUGGAAAGUAACCUACAAUGUGAGAUAGUAAAUACUGCAGAUCUUUAACCUGACUUCCAAGUGUAACUGAAUUAAGCAACAGCGGGAUUCUUGCAGGAGCUUGCAGUUCCAAGGGACCAUGUGACUUGUACACUGAGGACCCCAAGUAAGUUAACAAACUGUUCUCAGUUUGACUACUUACGAUGGUAGGGUGCUCUACGGCAGGCUGUAUUCCUUAUGGUACUUGGAGUGUUCUAUAUGAACCAAUGACAUUUCUAUCAUUACAUGAGGAUUCCUAAUGAUUCGUAAUGGUAUAGGUUUUCCAGUUUUAAUAUAGAUUUGCAGACCAUGUUUCUCUAGAUACUUCUAUACUGCUUCUUCCACCCUGUUUCCCCGAAAAUAAGACAUCCCCC